ACGGGAGGCAGCGGUGGGGAAUAUUGGACAAUGGGGGAAACCCUGAUCCAGCGACGCCGCGUGAGUGAAGAAGUAUUUCGGUAUGUAAAGCUCUAUCAGCAAGGAAGAAAAUGACGGUACUUGACUAAGAAGCUCCGGCUAAUACGUGCCAGCAGCCGCGGUAAUACGUAUGGAGCAAGCGUUAUCCGGAUUUACUGGGUGUAAAGGGAGCGUAGACGGCAAAGCAAGUCUGAAGUGAAAUCCCGGGGCUCAACCCCGGAACUGCUCUGGAAACUGUUUAGCUAGAGUGCAGGAGAGGUAAGCGGAAUUCCUAGUGUAGCGGUGAAAUGCGUAGAUAUUAGGAGGAACACCAGUGGCGAAGGCGGCUUGCUGGACGAUAACUGACGUUGAGGCUCGAAAGCGUGGGGAGCAAACAGGAUUAGAUACCCUGGUA
rnacentral:rRNA from 1 species